ensembl:lncRNA
GUUUGAAGGUGCUUCCCAUGGUGAACAUAACUGUGUUCAAUAUAAAGAAAGAAAAAAUAACAACAGACAAGGAAUUGAACAACAGACUACAGUUUAUAAUCAAGAACGGGACACUCAAGAUCACAAACCUGAGGAGGAAUGAUUCAGGUCAAUACAGCAUUGAGGUCUUUAAUUCAAAUGGAGUCCAAGAGAAAAACAUUCAUUUCACGCUGGAUGUUAAAGCUCUCGUUCCAAUUGAUGAGACUACAUGUGACCUCAGGACGAACACAUGCCCAUGCUCUCCUAUUCUUAAAGGAACUGUGUAUAUCCAAGUGAUGACUGAUGCUAGUGGCCGUGAAAUGAAGUGUUUGAAGGUGCUUCCCAAGGGGAACAUAACUGUGUUCAAUAUAAAGAAAGAAAAAAUAACAACAGACAAGGAAUUUAACAACAGACUAACAUUUAUAAUCAAGAACGGGACACUCAAGAUCACAAACCUGAGGAGGAAUGAUUCAGGUCAAUACAGCAUUGAGGUCUUUAAUUCAGAUGGAGUUCAAGAGAAAAACAUUCAUUUCACCCUGGAUGUUAAGG